rnacentral:tRNA from 1 species
GUGGGCGUAGCUCAACGGAAGAGCACCGGAUUCCAGACCCGACGGUCGCAGGUUCGAAUCCUGCCGCCCCCGCCC